GUGGGGAAUAUUGCACAAUGGGGGAAACCCUGAUGCAGCAACGCCGCGUGAAGGAAGAAGUAUUUCGGUAUGUAAACUUCUAUCAGCAGGGAAGAAAAUGACGGUACCUGACUAAGAAGCCCCGGCUAACUACGUGCCAGCAGCCGCGGUAAUACGUAGGGAGCAAGCGUUAUCCGGAUUUACUGGGUGUAAAGGGAGCGUAGGUGGUAUGGCAAGUCAGAUGUGAAAGCCCGGGGCUCAACCCCGGGACUGCAUUUGAAACUGCCAGACUAGAGUGCAGGAGAGGUAAGUGGAAUUCCUAGUGUAGCGGUGAAAUGCGUAGAUAUUAGGAGGAACACCAGUGGCGAAGGCGGCUUACUGGACUGUAACUGACACUGAGGCUCGAAAGCGUGGGGAGCAAACAGGAUUAGAUACCCCGGUAGUCC
rnacentral:rRNA from 1 species